rnacentral:rRNA from 1 species
CCGCGGUAAUACGUAUGUCGCAAGCGUUAUCCGGAUUUAUUGGGCGUAAAGCGUGUCUAGGCGGUUUGGUAAGUCUGAUGUGAAAAUGCGGGGCUCAACUCCGUAUUGCGUUGGAAACUGCCAAACUAGAGUACUGGAGGGGUAGGCGGAACUACAAGUGUAGAGGUGAAAUUCGUAGAUAUUUGUAGGAAUGCCGAUGGGGAAGUCAGCCUACUGGACAGAUACUGACGCUAAAGCGCGAAAGCGUGGGU